rnacentral:rRNA from 1 species
CGGACGGGUGAGUAACACGUGGAUAACCUACCUAUAAGACUGGGAUAACUUCGGGAAACCGGAGCUAAUACCGGAUAAUAUAUUGAACCGCAUGGUUCAAUAGUGGAAGACGGUUUUGCUGUCACUUAUAGAUGGAUCCGCGCCGCAUUAGCUAGUUGGUAAGGUAACGGCUUACCAAGGCAACGAUGCGUAGCCGACCUGAGAGGGUGAUCGGCCACACUGGAACUGAGACACGGUCCAG